rnacentral:rRNA from 1 species
CCUACGGGGGGCUGCAGUGGGGAAUAUUGCACAAUGGGGGAAACCCUGAUGCAGCGACGCCGCGUGAGCGAUGAAGUAUUUCGGUAUGUAAAGCUCUAUCAGCAGGGAAGAAAAUGACGGUACCUGACUAAGAAGCCCCGGCUAACUACGUGCCAGCAGCCGCGGUAAUACGUAGGGGGCAAGCGUUAUCCGGAUUUACUGGGUGUAAAGGGAGCGUAGACGGCUGUGCAAGCCAGAAGUGAAAUCCCAGGGCUCAACCCCGGAACUGCAUUUGAAACUGUGUGGCUGGAGUGUCGGAGAGGCAGGCGGAAUUCCUAGUGUAGCGGUGAAAUGCGUAGAUAUUAGGAGGAACACCAGUGGCGAAGGCGGCCUGCUGGACGAUGACUGACGUUGAGGCUCGAAAGCGUGGGGAGCAAACAGGAUUAGAUACCCUUGUAGUC